UUUGAGCGCACCUUGAACGCGUGUUUUGCUGCUAAAGAUGUGAUUCUUAUAAAGCACGGACGUAACGUCAUGGUCGUGGAACCGGUUUAGUGGCCGUCACAAAAAGAAGACAAUUAGACCCCCCUUCACCUUUUCAACAAUCAAACCAAUACUCACAACCCCGGUGCUACAGCGUCUGGGAAUUUAAAUGCGCCCAUUGCAGGCCAACAAGUUAUA